rnacentral:rRNA from 1 species
GGGUCAGGAGGCUGGUCGUGCCACCGGUACGUACUGGUCUCACUGAUUCCUCCUUCCUGAAGAACCGUAAUGCCAUUAAUUUGGUGUUGCGGGGAAACAGGACUGUUACUUUGAAAAAAUUAGAGUGUUUAAAGCAAGCCAACGCUUGAAUACAUUAGCACGGAAUAAUGAAAUAGGACGAUCGAUCCUAUUUUGUUGGUUUCUAGGAUUGACGUA